rnacentral:rRNA from 1 species
UACGUAGGGGGCUAGCGUUGUCCGGAUUUAUUGGGCGUAAAGAGCUCGUAGGCGGUCUGUCGCGUCGGUCGUGAAAACUUGGGGCUUAACCCUGAGCUUGCGGUCGAUACGGGCAUGACUGGAGUUCGGCAGGGGAGACUGGAAUUCCUGGUGUAGCGGUGAAAUGCGCAGAUAUCAGGAGGAACACCGGUGGCGAAGGCGGGUCUCUGGGCCGUAACUGACGCUGAGGAGCGAAAGCAUGGGGAGCGAACAGG